UAUCCAAGCAUCAUAACUCCCUUUCUCUUCAUCCUUAUCAUCUCUUUUCCUUCUCCUUUUCUCUCUAGACAAAGAAGGGUUGGAGAAGUGAAGUGGCAGAGGGUGGAGUGUUGCUGGCUGGGGAGAAACCUGAUCCAAGCAAUAAAUUCUGCUGAUUGGAGUUGAAGGAAUUCUUGCUUCUCGAUCUAGGAGUGACCUGGUUGAACAUCUAAGUUAAGAGUUGCAGUUAUUACAAGAGGAAGAGUUGAUGAAAUCUAUGAGUUGAGUAAUUCCUUGCUGGUCCGAGCUGAGAGGAGCUACCUAGUAAGGAGUUCCUGCUAUUGCUGCUGCUGUAGGGAUGAUUUGGACUAGUAAGUAGUGAGCAACUGGAUUAAACUCUAAACUAAGUUGCAGCCUGGGUGUUUACAGACUUAGAGAAGUGGUCGAGCACCAACCUGGUACCAUUGGUGGUGAAAAGAACCAUCGAAAUGGAGUUUUCAGCAAAGGGGACUUGAGUGAAGUUGCUGAAUUGGAAUUACAGCUGAGGAGAAUUUGGGAGAAGCUUAAAUCUUGACCUGCAAGUUGAUGUCAUUGGUACUUCCGAAAUGCAAGGAUAGACUAUUUGAUGCAAUGAGCCAGUUAAUUUAGCAUCAAAUUGAAAAUUGGAGCUGAGAUGA